UGCUCUCGGGUGACGAGCGGCGGACGGGUGAGUAAUGUCUGGGAAACUGCCUGAUGGAGGGGGAUAACUACUGGAAACGGUAGCUAAUACCGCAUAACGUCGCAAGACCAAAGUGGGGGACCUUCGGGCCUCAUGCCAUCAGAUGUGCCCAGAUGGGAUUAGCUAGUAGGUGGGGUAACGGCUCACCUAGGCGACGAUCCCUAGCUGGUCUGAGAGGAUGACCAGCCACACUGGAACUGAGACACGGUCCAGACUCCUACGGGAGGCAGCAGUGGGGAAUAUUGCACAAUGGGCGCAAGCCUGAUGCAGCCAUGCCGCGUGUGUGAAGAAGGCCUUCGGGUUGUAAAGCACUUUCAGCGGGGAGGAAGGCGAUGAGGUUAAUAACCUCGUCGAUUGACGUUACCCGCAGAAGAAGCACCGGCUAACUCCGUGCCAGCAGCCGCGGUAAUACGGAGGGUGCAAGCGUUAAUCGGAAUUACUGGGCGUAAAGCGCACGCAGGCGGUCUGUCAAGUCGGAUGUGAAAUCCCCGGGCUCAACCUGGGAACUGCAUUCGAAACUGGCACGCUAGAGUCUUGUAGA
rnacentral:rRNA from 1 species